GACUUCGGUGUGCUGCAGUGGGGAAUGUUGCACAAUGGGCGCAAGCCUGGUGCAGCGACGCCGCGUGAGCGAUGGAGGCCUUCGGGCCGUAUAGCUCUGUCCUAAGGGAAGAUUAAUGACGGUACCCUCGGAGGAACCGCCGGCUAACUACGUGCCAGCAGCCGCGGUAAUACGUAGGGGGCGAGCGUUAUCCGGAAGCACUGGGCGUAAAGGGUGCGUAGGCGGCCCUGCAAGUCAGGAGUUAAAUCCCUCGGCUCAACCGAGGUCAGCUCUUGAAACUGUAGGGCUUGAGUGCAGGAGAGGAGAGCGGAAUUCCUAGUGUAGCGGUGAAAUGCGUAGAUAUUAGGAGGAACACCAGUGGCGAAGGCGGCUCUCUGGACUGCAACUGACGCUGAGGCACGAAAGCGUGGGGAGCGAACAGGAUUAGAUACCCUUGUAGUC
rnacentral:rRNA from 1 species